rnacentral:rRNA from 1 species
GCUAAAUACUACUGACUGACCGAUAGUGAACCAGUACCGUGAGGGAAAGGCGAAAAGAACCCCUGUGAGGGGAGUGAAAUAGAACCUGAAACCGUGUACGUACAAGCAGUAGGAGCACCCUCGUGGUGUGACUGCGUACCUUUUGUAUAAUGGGUCAGCGACUUAUAUUCAGUAGCAAGGUUAACCAUCUAGGGGAGCCGUAGAGAAAUCGAGUCUUAACUGGGCGUCGAGUUGCUGGAUAUAGACCCGAAACCAGGUGAUCUAGCCAUGGGCAGGUUGAAGGUUGAGUAACAUCAACUGGAGGACCGAACCGACUAAUGUUGAAAAAUUAGCGGAUGACUUGUGGCUAGGGGUGAAAGGCCAAUCAAACCUGGAGAUAGCUGGUUCUCCCCGAAAUCUAUUUAGGUAGAGCCUCGGACGAAUACUACUGGGGGUAUAGCACUGUUAAGGCUAGGGGGUCAUCCCGACUUACCAACCCUUUGCAAACUCCGAAUACCAGUAAGUACUAUCCGGGAGACACACGGCGGGUGCUAACGUCCGUCGUGGAGAGGGAAACAACCCAGACCGCCAGCUAAGGUCCCAAAUUAUAGCUAAGUGGGAAACGAUGUGGGAAGGCUUAGACAGCUAGGAUGUUGGCUUAGAAGCAGCCAUCAUUUAAAGAAAGCGUAAUAGCUCACUAGUCGAGUCGGCCUGCGCGGAAGAUGUAACGGGGCUAAGCUAUAAACCGAAGCUGCGGCAAUGACUUUUAGUCAUUGGGUAGGGGAGCGUUCUGUAAGCCGUUGAAGGUGUGUUGUAAAGCAUGCUGGAGGUAUCAGAAGUGCGAAUGCUGACAUGAGUAACGAUAAAGGGGGUGAAAAACCUCCUCGCCGGAAGACCAAGGGUUCCUGUCCAACGU